rnacentral:rRNA from 1 species
UACGUAGGGGGCUAGCGUUGUCCGGAAUCAUUGGGCGUAAAGCGCGUGUAGGCGGCCCGGUAAGUCCGCUGUGAAAGUCGGGGGCUCAACCCUCGGAUGCCGGUGGAUACUGUCGGGCUCGAGUACGGAAGAGGCGAGUGGAAUUCCUGGUGUAGCGGUGAAAUGCGCAGAUAUCAGGAGGAACACCAAUUGCGAAGGCAGCUCGCUGGGACGUAACUGACGCUGAGACGCGAAAGCGUGGGGAGCGAUCCGG